rnacentral:rRNA from 1 species
AUGUCACCAUGGGAUCACAAUCACUUGAUCGAACAUAUAAAUCCAGCUAGAGUACCCGCCAUUCCAGCGCCCUUCCCGUCUCAAAUUCAUCCUGCCCGCUCGAUUCGCCUCGCUGGCCCUGGUAAAAGUACUUUUCAUCGACCUGCCUCGCAGCGACGCGGUCGGGGCGUGCUUCUGUCGAUGAAAAGCAGGGCCGGAUCGCUCGUGUGCUGCGGCCAAUCGAUCGUGGGGUUGUCAGGGCGUUUUUUACCGUGUUCGUUUGCACCCAGUGGUGGCGCCUCCGCUUCAACCGCGUCUGGCCCCAUCUGUCAGUCUCGUGGGUGCGUGGCAGUUUGGUCGUCCUUGGUCAUGUGA